rnacentral:rRNA from 1 species
ACUCCUACGGGAGGCAGCAGUGGGGAAUCUUGGACAAUGGGCGCAAGCCUGAUCCAGCCAUGCCGCGUGAGUGAUGAAGGCCUUAGGGUCGUAAAGCUCUUUCGCCAGGGAUGAUAAUGACAGUACCUGGUAAAGAAACCCCGGCUAACUCCGUGCCAGCAGCCGCGGUAAUACGGAGGGGUUAGCGUUGUUCGGAAUUACUGGGGCGUAAAGCGCGCGUAGGCGGAUCGGAAAGUUGGGGGUGAAAUCCCGGGGCUCAACCCCGGAACUGCCUCCAAAACUAUCGGUCUAGAGUUCGAGAGAGGUGAGUGGAAUUCCGAGUGUAGAGGUGAAAUUCGUAGAUAUUCGGAGGAACACCAGUGGCGAAGGCGGCUCACUGGCUCGAUACUGACGCUGAGGUGCGAAAGUGUGGGGAGCAAACAGGAUUAGAUACCCUGGUAGGAUAGCG